UCCGAAGGUCCUGGUCGAGGAUGAGU
rnacentral:sRNA from 1 species